CAAAUAGGUGGGCAACCAUAUAUGAGAACUCCAGCACAUGGAAGGGAAGAAAAGGAGGUCAUGUAAACAUCUGAAAGUUGCAUGGUGAGACAUUUCUUAGUAAACAUUGUCUUUCAAAACAACCUGGUAGAAAAGCUAAGAUACAAGGGCAAUUUCUAUUUUUUGUGAAGCUUACUUGUCCUCUCAAAUGCAUAGGUAGAAAAAUAGAUCAACCUCAACAUUUAAUAGAACUCAACAGAACAACCAACAACUAAAUAUCUGCUUAUCAUAUAAUUACAAACUGGAAACUGGGAACAAACACGGCAUGCAAAAAAAU
rnacentral:rRNA from 1 species